ensembl:lncRNA
AAAAAAAGGACGAGACAUCAGCAGCUUUUCCCCACCCAAAGUGAAACGCAGCAGCAGGCUGAAGUAGAGCAGGAUGAAACAGCUGCAUCUUCAGGGUUUCAGGGUCACGGGGAACCUGGAGCCGAUCUCAGGGAGCAUGGGACACAAGAUGGGGUACACCCUGGACGAGCUGCCAAUCCAUCGCAGGGCACAAUCACACACACAUUAAUACAGUACGGACACUUUGGACACGCCAAUCAACCUACAAUGCAUGUCUUUUGGACUGGGGGAGGAAACCGGAGUACCCGGAGGAAAGAGCACGGGGAGAACAUGCAAACUCUGUGCACACAGGGCAGUGGUGGGAAUCGAACCCCGACCCUGGAGGUGUGAGGCGAACGUGCUAACCACCGAUCCUCUGUGUGCCCCA